AUCAUACACGAUAAUAUGUGCAUAGUAACAGAUGUGAUUAAU
rnacentral:guide_RNA from 1 species